GAGACAGCAGCAGCCGCGGUAAUACGUAGGGUGCAAGCGUUAAUCGGAAUUACUGGGCGUAAAGCGUGCGCAGGCGGUUAUAUAAGACAGAUGUGAAAUCCCCGGGCUCAACCUGGGAACUGCAUUUGUGACUGUAUAGCUAGAGUACGGCAGAGGGGGAUGGAAUUCCGCGUGUAGCAGUGAAAUGCGUAGAUAUGCGGAGGAACACCGAUGGCGAAGGCAAUCCCCUGGGCCUGUACUGACGCUCAUGCACGAAAGCGUGGGGAGCAAACAGGAUUAGAUACCCCAGUAGUCCCUGUCUCUUAUAC
rnacentral:rRNA from 1 species